rnacentral:rRNA from 1 species
GAUGAACGCUGGCGGCGUGCCUAAUACAUGCAAGUCGAGCGAAUGGAUUAAGAGCUUGCUCUUAUGAAGUUAGCGGCGGACGGGUGAGUAACACGUGGGUAACCUGCCCAUAAGACUGGGAUAACUCCGGGAAACCGGGGCUAAUACCGGAUAAUAUUUUGAACUGCAUGGUUCAAAAUUGAAAGGCGGCUUCGGCUGUCACUUAUGGAUGGACCCGCGUCGCAUUAGCUAGUUGGUGAGGUAACGGCUCACCAAGGCAACGAUGCGUAGCCGGCCUGAGAGGGUGAUCGGCCACACUGGGACUGAGACACGGCCCAGACUCCUACGGGAGGCAGCAGUAGGGAAUCUUCCGCAAUGGACGAAAGUCUGACGGAGCAACGCCGCGUGAGUGAUGAAGGCUUUCGGGUCGUAAACUCUGUUGUUAGGGAAGAACAAGUGCUAGUUGAAUAAGCUGGCACCUUGACGGUACCUAACCAGAAAGCCACGGCUAACUACGUGCCAGCCGCCGCCGUAA